GCUUUGGAAAGCAGCUAUUCCACAGUGCCUUCCACCCCCUCACAGCAGACAUCUGCAUUUCUUCUAUAUAUAGAUCAGAAAAAAAGCCUUAGAAGGAAGAAAGAGCGCUGGCAUAGUGAGCAGCUGGAGGAACUCAUGCUGGGAAGCUCCCCUUUACAUCACUGGCUACUCCCAAUCUCUGCAAGGAAUCCAUGGCUGCACUUCUCUGAUGUCAGAGGAUUACAGCAGCACUCAUUGCACCUCUCUUUUUCCAAGACAUUGACACUUGUGGUCAGCAGUGUGGCCUGAGGGAUGUUGCUUCUUGCAGCUUCAAGGUGAAGUAUGCAGCACAAUAUUGUGAUUUGUUGGAGAGAAGGAUAAAUUGACCCAGAGGAUAUGACACAACACACCUGGGACAAAAAAGCUGUUCUUUACGUGUAAAAAUUUCACAGAAAUUGAAUCAGUGCAGUCUGCACCUUGCUUUCCAUGUUCACCUCCAGAUACAGACAGAUUUGUAUGAAAAAGAAUUAAACAUUUUUUUUUGCUCAUUCAUAUUUUUUUCAUGCAUCACUCUAAGUAUCUUUGUAAAGAAGGUAACAAAAUCCAAUAAAGCUUUGAUAUUUAAGC